rnacentral:rRNA from 1 species
UACAGAGGUCUCAAGCGUUGUUCGGAUUCAUUGGGCGUAAAGGGUGUGUAGGUGGCGCGCUAAGUCAGGUGUGAAAUUUCGGAGCUUAACUCCGAAACUGCAUUUGAUACUGGCGUGCUUGAGGACUGGAGAGGAGACUGGAAUUCAUGGUGUAGCAGUGAAAUGCGUAGAGAUCAUGAGGAAGACCAGUGGCGAAGGCGGGUCUCUGGGACGGUACUGACGCUGGAGACGCGAAAGCGUGGGGAGCGAACAGG